CCUACGGGAGGCAGCAGUGAGGAAUAUUGAUCAAUGGACGAGAGUCUGAACCAGCCAAGUAGCGUGAAGGAUGACGGCCCUAUGGGUUGUAAACUUCUUUUAUAUGGGAAUAAAAUGUUCCACGUGUGGGAUUUUGUAUGUACCAUAUCAAUUAGGCUCGGCUAACUCCGGGCCAGCAGCCGCGGUAAUAAGGAGGAUCCGAGCGUUAUCAGGAUUUAUUGGGUUUAAAGGGAGCGUAGGUGGAGUGUUAAGUCAGUUGUGAAAGUUUGCGGCUCAACUGUAAAAUUGCAGUUGAAACUGGCAGUCUUGAGGACAGUAGAGGUGGGCGGAAGUCGUGGUGUAGCGGUGAAAUGCUUAGAUAUCACGAAGAACUCCGAUUGCGAAGGCAGUUCACUGGACUGCAACUGACACUGAGGCUCGAAAGUGUGGGUAUCAAACAGGAUUAGAUACCCCUGUAGUC
rnacentral:rRNA from 1 species